rnacentral:rRNA from 1 species
GGAAUUAUUGGGCGUAAAGAGCUCGUAGGCGGUUUGUCGCGUCUGCCGUGAAAGUCCGGGGCUCAACUCCGGAUCUGCGGUGGGUACGGGCAGACUAGAGUGAUGUAGGGGAGACUGGAAUUCCUGGUGUAGCGGUGAAAUGCGCAGAUAUCAGGAGGAACACCGAUGGCGAAGGCAGGUCUCUGGGCAUUAACUGACGCUGAGGAGCGAAAGCAUGGGGAGCGAACAGGAUUAGAUACCCUGGUAGUCCAUGCCGUAAACGUUGGGCACUAGGUGUGGGGGACAUUCCACGUUUUCCGCGCCGUAGCUAACGCAUUAAGUGCCCCGCCUGGGGAGUACGGCCGCAAGGCUAAAACUCAAAGGAAUUGACGGGGGCCCGCACAAGCGGCGGAGCAUGCGGAUUAAUUCGAUGCAACGCGAAGAACCUUACCAAGGCUUGACAUGAACCGGAAACACCUGGAAACAGGUGCCCCGCUUGCGGUCGGUUUACAGGUGGUGCAUGGUUGUCGUCAGCUCGUGUCGUGAGAUGUUGGGUUAAGUCCCGCAACGAGCGCAACCCUCGUUCUAUGUUGCCAGCGCGUUAUGGCGGGGACUCAUAGGAGACUGCCGGGGUCAACUCGGAGGAAGGUGGGGACGACGUCAAAUCAUCAUGCCCCUUAUGUCUUGGGCUUCACGCAUGCUACAAUGGCCGGUACAAAGGGUUGCGAUACUGUGAGGUGGAGCUAAUCCCAAAAAGCCGGUCUCAGUUCGGAUUGGGGUCUGCAACUCGACCCCAUGAAGUCGGAGUCGCUAGUAAUCGCAGAUCAGCAACGCUGCGGUGAAUACGUUCCCGGGCCUUGUACACACCGCCCGUCAAGUCACGAAAGUUGGUAACACCCGAAGCCGGUGGCCUAACCCCUUGUGGGAGGGAGCUGUCGAACGUGGGACUGGCGAUUGGGACUAAGUCGUAAGGGGUAAAACCCGUUAGAUGAUCCAAUUCCGAUGUAGCUAUGUGUUGUCACUGCUUCUUCUGCUGAUUUUGCCUGAAUUAAUCGAUUGUAACUACGCAGACACUGUUAGCCAUGACAGCUUGCCAAGUCGACGUGAAACUCUCAGUGAAGAUGACCUAGUUUCCACUCGUGCAGAGGGUUAGCGGUAAUGUCUAGGACCCAUUGGAUGCCUCUAACGCAUGCCCG